GACGAACGCUGGCGGCGCGCUUAACACAUGCAAGUCGAACGGAAAGGCCUGCUUUCCCUUGUGGAUUGCGGGUACUCGAGUGGCGAACGGGUGAGUAACACGUGAGUGAUCUGCCCCCAACUUGGGUAUAAGCCUGGGAAACUGGGUCUAAUUCCCGAUAGGACUGCAGGGUGGUGCCUGUGGUGGAAAACGAUUUUCUAGUGGUUGGGGAUGAGCUCGCGGCCUAUCGGCUUGUUGGUGGGGUAAUGGCCUACCAAGGCGGCGACGGGUAGCCGGCCUGAGAGGGUGGACGGCCACAUUGGGACUGAGAUACGGCCCAGACUCCUACGGGAGGCAGCAGUGGGGAAUAUUGCACAAUGGGCGGAAGCCUGAUGCAGCGACGCCGCGUGGGGGAUGACGGCCUUCGGGUGGUAAACUCCUUUCGACCGCGAGGAAGCCACCUGGUUGGAAGGGUGGUGACGGUAGUGGUAGAAGAAGCACCGGCUAACUACGUG
rnacentral:rRNA from 1 species